rnacentral:lncRNA from 1 species
UCCUGAGGUCCCCUGGGGACAAAUCUUCCCCAGACUCCAGAGUCUGUCCCAUCUGAUGGCAGAGUGCGUGCUGCCAUGCCCAGCUGAGUGUUCUGUUUCCAUGCACAGCCCAGGUAGAGCUGCACACUGUUCAAAUCUGCUUUGCCUUCAUUAAUCUUUUCCAGCAGCAGACAAACUACCAAGCAGCAGAAAACUGCCACAUCAAAGUUCUCUUCCAGUUUCUCUGGACACCAUCACUCAAAAUGGGUCCAGAAAGAUGGAACCAGAAGCAGCAGCCUCCAGCUCUGUCUUUUCCUGCAGUUCAUGGGGACAGGAGGCAACACAAGACAGAAACCACCACAUGAUCCAAAUCCAAAGAAGAAUUUGCAUUACUAACUGCUCUGUAGAGAUGGAAGACUCAGUGAAAUCAGCAGGAUCUCAGCACCCAAGUGGAAGCCAGCACAGUCUUGCUCCUUCUGUACCAGUUCAUGGAAGCCUUAUGUUCUUCCACUUGGGCUUUUAUGAAUCCUGAUUCAGAGACUAUUCAUGUGGAUACCGAGUUUUAAACCUCAGCUGUACUGACCCCACUGCAGGCUGGCAGAGUCCAGUUCUGUAUAACAACUGCAUCCCAGAGUCACAGGACAGCUGAGGCUGGAAGGGUUAUCAGUCCAACACUCCUGCUCAACCCGGGCUACAAACAGUCCUUCUGUCUUCACUGAGAGCCCUUCCCAGGUAUGAAGCUGACUAGUCAGACAUACCUUUCCAUGUAAGAGCCUCCAGCAGAUCCUAAGGGAGGAUUUCUGCUCUUACUGUAAGAUGUUUAAUUUAGAACGGACAAAUAGUCUCGACUGUGGGAGUUUUUCAGUGAGUCACCACCCAAGAAUGACUGCAGGCAUCUCUCCAGUGGAAUGGAUAUGUCAGCACUGCUGCAUUGCACUGAGCUCUACCAGCAGACAGACACCUUCUGAAGCAAGACCAGUGUGAGGAUGUCAAUCCUACCUGACUCUAAAUAAUAAGCAUUGGUGACAAAGAUUGGAAAUUAGAGGUACCUGACUUUUGGAGUGGAAUUCACCUCCAGAUUCAUUGGCAGAAGUUUAGUUCUCCACAUGUGCACUAGUACUGCACUCACCUAGCAGUCCGCUCCAGGAGUUGAUUUUUUUGAGCCAAUGUAACUGUGCCAUGUUUGAUGUGCUCCAGGACACCCAGGAGAUCUGCACAGGGCUGGAUGACAUGACACUGCACCCAUGAGAUGUCCAGUUCCUCCAGGAGCAGUGUCAGGGGUCAAGCAUGAUCUCCAAGGCUGAUAUCCCCGAGCACCAUGGACCACACUGAUGGAUGCUGUUCUGAUCCAGUCCCCUCACACAGGCACCUGGUUCCUGUGUCCAGCUGCAGUUCCAGAAGUCUGCAGGUUUCCUUUGGGUCCUACACCAUAUCUGCCACCCCCUGCAGGUGUUGUCAAAUGCAGCACAGCGUCUCAGAUGGCACUUGGUGCAGGUUUGGGGACAAAUGACAUCCCUUUAUGUCACUGGAGA